rnacentral:rRNA from 1 species
UACGUAGGGGGCAAGCGUUGUCCGGAAUCAUUGGGCGUAAAGCGCGUGUAGGCGGCCAGAAAAGUCCGCUGUGAAAACUCGAGGCUCAACUUCGAGCUGUCGGUGGAAACUUUCUGGCUAGAGUCCGGAAGAGGAGAAUGGAAUUCCUGGUGUAGCGGUGAAAUGCGCAGAUAUCAGGAAGAACACCGGUGGCGAAGGCGGCUCUCUGGGCCUUACCUGACGCUGAGGAGCGAAAGCGUGGGGAGCGAACAGG